AGAGAAGUGGUUCUGAAAGUGGGGUCCUGGACCCGUGGCAUCAACAUCACCUGGGAACAUGUUAGAAAUGCAGAUUCUCAGGGGCCAC